GAUAAAUCGAAGAAAAACAGAAUAAAAAAGAAAAAAAGGGGGGGCUGUUCCAACGCCGGUGGGAGUCGACUCGUGGCCGCCUGUCACCGCCGUGCAGGAGCUGCGCGUACCACCGUAUCGCCGGCCGGGGAAUUUAUGGCUCUGGCUUCAAAUCCCUUUCGUCUCCGGCUUUGGCGAACACAGCGGAACCACCAGAACCCUGCACCGAAGCUCUCAUCGCCGGGAAGAAACCAGACCAAGUCCAGCGCAGGGUUCGAUCGAGACCGCAGAACAAAAACCGCAUCCCACCACCUCGCAGGGAUCACUACCGCGCGAGAACCGCACGCCGCCGCGCACCACCGCUGGGUCCCGUCUCCACUCUUGCUUCAGCCGCCGAUUAAUAGCACAGACCACCGAUUUCACCGAUGCUGCCAGCCGAUCUCUUAAUCCAAGGAGCAAUGAUAGCUCGCAGAUCAUGGGCAAAGGGGAAAACCCCCAAUUUCUCUUAAAUUCACCUAUAUUUUCCAAUAAUUUCGAAUAAAUUAUGACAAAUCCUGAUGGUUGUUUGUAUUUCCCUGUGUUUUUCGAGCAAAAUUAUCGGUGGAGACCCAUUUUUGCUUCGAUCAUCGCUCGCCUUUGCGGCACUCGGUUGGCAGUUGGCUGUCUAGGAGAAACCACAGAAAAAUGCCCUAAAUUGGGACUAGCUAAGUUCAUUGGUGUCAACUUCUGUUGCGAAGGACUCCAUGUACUAGUCGCUCUAUCAUGGCUUCACAGAGAAACGGAUCGAGAACCAUGAUGUGAACCGCUGCGAAUCUGGGAACUCGCGAAGUUGUUUGCUGCCAUUGAGAGCCGGCAAAGUUCAUCGCAGCGCCGCAUGCUCGACUGAACAGAGCAAUUGUUCUGCCUUCAUUAAAAGCUAAUUUGCCUGAGACUGCUGCUGUUGGGACUAAUUGGAGAUCAUUCAUUGUUGAUUUAAUCACUAGAAGAACCAUAAGUUAAGGGCUAUAUGCGCUUCACACUACCUUGAGGGUGACAAACGCUAGCCACCAAGUUAUAUCUACCGCGGAUUAAUCGGAGUCCGACGAGACAGCACCAGAAUGCCUUUGUCAGCAUUGUCUUGGCUCCAACUAAACAGUUUCCUUUCUCUCUAUCAUAAGCUAAGUCUUAUACUUGCCAUCAUAAAAACUGCUCAACCUUUCUAUGCUUUGAUGGGGGGUCUGGAUUUGAUAGCAGAAAUUUAAUCUCUUUUUUGAAUCAGUUAGGGAUAUAUGAAAAUCAAAGAUGUAUAUGCGAUUAUUCUCUUAUUGCAGUUGCUCUUUCUCUGGAAAAUGCUUAUAUGUGGGCAUAUGAAAUGCGAUUAUUGAUGUUUUUCUCAUGAAUUAAACUAUUCCUUGUCUCAUAAGAAAAUUUCUUUUUGUGAAUACCUAUUGGUGUGGAGUAAGGGCUCUGUUGAAAUGCGAAAAGAAUUUCAAUGUGUAUUCUGAUGUUGGUCUAAAGAUUGAGGAUAUUUUGAUAUUUGGAUAUUCUUUGGUAUUUUAAUAUCAUCAGCUUAGAUUUAUUGCUGUUUUGAAUUAUGGAAUUGAACAUUACAAUUGUUGGGAUAGGACCGUGGAGAUAUAUGUCUUUAUGUGCAUAAACGAGUUAUUAUGGGGCAUUUAAAUUAACUCUUUAUGAUUUGGCUUUAAUGUUCGUUGGGGCCUUAUUUUUGAAUUUUGGUGACUGAGCUUGAGUUUAUUGGUUGGUUAUGAGGAUCUACACCUUGUAAUAGUACUAUGCUCUUGCUUUGGUUUUGAGAUUGAUUUUGUGGGAUUAGGACUAAUCAAUUACUCUAAUGUUUUAGAGCACAGGAAGUACAUGAGUUACAGCACAAGAAGUACAUGAGUUAUUUUCAGGGCAUGAAGUUCUUGGGAUAUCAAGCGCCGCUGUGCCGAUGCAGCGCAGGGAGGGAGAGGGUAGUUCAUUUCGCUUGCAGCGCUGCAUCAAAAAUAUUGCAUUGUUUUCAGGGAAUUUUUGGAUCCGAAGGGCAACGUAGCUGCUUUGGGUGAACGGGCCUGCGCAGGACUUUUUUUUUUUUAUACUAGGGGAUUUUAGCCCCGCACAGGGUUCUCUCAACACAGCGGGAUUCCAGCUCUGCCGUUUCAAAAAUCCUUAUAUUUCAGGAUUAAUUUUGCUUUAAUUGGGGAUUGCAUCUACUGAUUUUGGGGUUAUCCAUGUCUCGUUUUUUAGACUGACUUUGCUCUACUUUUCUUUACAAAUUCAGGGCUGCGCAGGGCAUUUUUCGUGGAGGGAGCGCAACGUUUUCCAGGGAAUCUAUUGGAAAUGCUGUCUUCUUUAACACUCAUGAGUAUGUGCGCUAUUACAUGCAUAAACCACUCAGCCUUCAAUUUGAGCAAGGGCCGGGGUUUCGAGCAGCGCAGGAUCAUGCGAAGAAAGAUACAACAGCAAAGGAAAAGGAGGAAUUAGUGGAAUAACAAGAUGAAGUAAAAUUAUGAAGCUGCGCAGGAAUAAAAGCAAGAAGAGUUACUAAAGCUGCGCUGCAUAAUUUUCUAAGCGGUGCGGUGGGAUAUCUAAGCUGGUCUUCAACACAGGAACUCUACAUCCCAGCACAGAAUGUCUAAGCCGUAAUGUAACAAAGAAAAUGAGCUUUAGUGGCAAUUCAGCCACGCUACGGAGGGGAAAGCCUUAAGUGGAAUUUGGGUCUUCUCAGCGUAGUCAGGACAUUUAUCUCAGCUACCUCUGCGCAGCUACCUC